rnacentral:rRNA from 1 species
CAGUCGCCGCGGUAAUACGGAGGGUGCAAGCGUUAAUCGGAAUUACUGGGCGUAAAGCGCACGCAGGCGGUCUGUCAAGUCGGAUGUGAAAUCCCCGGGCUCAACCUGGGAACUGCAUUCGAAACUGGCAGGCUAGAGUCUUGUAGAGGGGGGUAGAAUUCCAGGUGUAGCGGUGAAAUGCGUAGAGAUCUGGAGGAAUACCGGUGGCGAAGGCGGCCCCCUGGACAAAGACUGACGCUCAGGUGCGAAAGCGUGGGGAGCAAACAGGAUUAGAUACCCGGGUAGUCCCUGUCUCUUAUAA